GUGACAUUUGCCUCCAUCCAGAUGGAUGUGACCCUGGGUUUUAGAGCAAUUUUCUGGUCAGGAAAUUGAAAUGUUCAGAGGCAAAGAAACUGACCCAAGCUGGGGACGAGGUCUCCAAACGAAUCCAGACUUAGAGAAUAGAAUCAAACCUCCUCUAGCACAAAGCAUCUUGCCAGCAAAGAACUCCAGGAGCCCACAGCGGCAAAGAAGCAAUUUUGGAAUGAGACUAAGAGGUCUCAAAUAUUUGUCCUGCCUU